UAGAUUCUUUAUCUUAUUUAGUGUCUCUUAGAUUCUUUAUCUUAUUUAGUGUCUCUUAGAUUCUUUAUCUUGAAGUGUUUCCAUUAUUAGUCCAGGUAUUAUUAUAAUCAUCUGUUCAUUCUUUGUAUUUUGAAACAUUUUUUAAUAAAGGGGUUUGUUGUUGUUUACCUCUCAUGAUGUUAUUGAUUAUAAAUGUUAUAUUGAUUAUGAUGUAGAUUAUUGUUAUGAUGUUGCUCUCUAAACUGCCAUGUAAUCAACUGGAUGCUUUUAAUAAAAUUACAGGCUGUCA